GCCAGACUCCUACGGGAGGCAGCAGUGGGGAAUAUUGCACAAUGGGGGGAACCCUGAUGCAGCGACGCCGCGUGGGUGAAGGAGUACUUCGGUACGUAAAGCCCUAUCAGCAGGAAAGAAAAUGACGGUACCUGACUAAGAAGCCCCGGCUAACUACGUGCCAGCAGCCGCGGUAAUACGUAGGGGGCAAGCGUUAUCCGGAUUUACUGGGUGUAAAGGGAGCGUAGACGGCAGUGCAAGUCCGGAGUGAAAGCCCGGGGCUCAACCCUGGGACUGCUCUGGAAACUGCAAAGCUGGAGUGCGGGAGGGGCAGGCGGAAUUCCUGGUGUAGCGGUGAAAUGCGUAGAUAUCAGGAGGAACACCGGCGGCGAAGGCAGCAUACCGGCUCCACACUGACGCUGAGGCACGAAAGCGUGGGUAUCGAACAGGAUUAGAUACCCGAGUA
rnacentral:rRNA from 1 species